rnacentral:rRNA from 1 species
UACGUAGGGUGCGAGCGUUAAUCGGAAUUACUGGGCGUAAAGCGUGCGCAGGCGGUUUUGUAAGCCAGAUGUGAAAUCCUGGGGCUUAACCCCGGAACUGCAUUCGAUACUGCAGUGCUUGAGGACUGGAGAGGAGACUGGAAUUCAUGGUGUAGCAGUGAAAUGCGUAGAGAUCAUGAGGAAGACCAGUGGCGAAGGCGGGUCUCUGGACAGUUCCGUGACACUGAGGCACGAAGGCCAGGGGAGCAAACGGG